GGAAAUGUUCCCAAAACGGGGGACUGCGCAGAAUUAAUUCUUAGAAAUAGAAUGGCUGAGUUAGAGGUUAGGCAUUUAAAGUUGAGUUCCAUAAUGCCAAAUUGCAAAAAAAAAAAAAAUUGUAGACCAAAAAGUUGUCACCCAAACCAACGACAUAGCCCAUAAAUCCGCUGGGGAGGAGAGGUUAGCUAGAUGGGCUGCGCAUCGGUCCUGUGGAACACUGCACAGAGAUGAGGAAAUCAAGGCGGAGAAAAGUUGGAGAAUGUGUCCAAAGUCACACCGCCGGCAGCCAAAAGAGCCCGGGGGCUCACUCACAAAAGACACAGCCAACAGCGAUUGCUCUGGGAGAGAGGACCGGGGAAAAGUUAGUGCUGUUCACCGUACACAUUGCGCGCUAGUUGGAAUGGCUUUCACCACGUGCAAGCACUGCUUUUGCAAAUGCAUGAUUCUAAACAAUGCUCACCAACCCAGCCUUCAGUACAGUCCUAAAGUAACAGCCCAGAAACACACACUUCAGCCAGGACCCUCCAUGCUGCCUCCCAGAGCAGCCCAGCAGCUGGACAGCCUGAUGUCCUGGGCUGGAUCAGCAAGUCCUGGAUGCCUUUUACCUGCACCCAGCUCAUCCUCCAGGCCGCAGGACACACAGACUCCCG
rnacentral:lncRNA from 1 species